rnacentral:rRNA from 1 species
GAUGAACGCUGGCGGCGUGCCUAAUACAUGCAAGUCGAGCGAACGGACGAGAAGCUUGCUUCUCUGAUGUUAGCGGCGGACGGGUGAGUAACACGUGGAUAACCUACCUAUAAGACUGGGAUAACUUCGGGAAACCGGAGCUAAUACCGGAUAAUAUUUUGAACUGCAUGGUUCAAAAGUGAAAGACGGUCUUGCUGUCACUUAUAGAUGGAUCCGCGCUGCAUUAGCUAGUUGGUAAGGUAACGGCUUACCAAGGCAACGAUGCAUAGCCGACCUGAGAGGGUGAACGGCCACACGGGAACUGAGACACGGUCCAGACUCCUACGGGAGGCAGCAGUAGGGAAUCUUCCGCAAUGGGCGAAAGCCUGACGGAGCAACGCCGCGUGAGUGAUGAAGGUCUUCGGAUCGUAAAACUCUGUUAUUAGGGAAGAACAUAUGUGUAAGUAACUGUGCACAUCUUGACGGUACCUAAUCAGAAAGCCACGGCUAACUACGUG